GAGGUGUUAUCUCACAGCAGCAGGUUGAGUGCUGGUCCUGGAGAGAGAUGAUGCCCAAGCUUGUCAUAGCUGCUGGUAGAGAUAGCCAUACCUCUCGUGCUGGUGGUGAAACCAUGCUGGCGACUUGUAGCAGAAAUGCUAAGUCACGGCCUGAACCAGUGACUGAGCACCUGGUGGGAAGGCAGGGCCAACCCAGGGGAGCUCAGGUGCAUGCAAUGCCCCUGAGUGACCAGAAGGGGUGGAGCCAGGAUCCACCCAUUCCCAGACCUCACUUAAGGAUUGGCAGUGGAGACAAGGGUAUUUUGCUGGAGAUUCCUGUGUACCUGAGGCUUUCUAAGGUACGGCAGCAACUGCACCCCGGCCUUGUUGAUGGAAAGCUGGAGGCUCCGGGUGGUGUGAGCCACGCUGCCGUCACCAAGCUAACCUCCCCAUGCCUCUUGCAGGCAGACAGAGACAAGGAGAGAAAAAAAUGUCCGGUGACGUCAAUCAAGACCACACUCUGCUGGAUAAUAUUACUGUGUGCCUCAACCGCCCACUCCCUUUAAUUUACUAGAAGCUAAGCAAGCUGUUUUGAAACCCAUAGCUUCCAGCGUGUUUGCGCCGCUCUCCCUCAGCCAAAGGCCAGUAAUUGUGAGGAGCUUGAAAGCUACCUGAUGCCUCGUUCAAAGCACUGAAGCAGAGGGGAUUUCCAUGAGUAAUAAUUUCACUCUGUGCCUGCGCAGCGCACCGUAGGCUAGAGUAAAUUGAUCCAGCUGCUUGCAAGGCUGGAUGGAAAAGUGCCCGGGGGGGCCGGGGUGCAGCACCAGAUGGAGCUGGAUGUCGUCACGUGGGGCUCCCAGCUGCUGGGCAUGCUCCAGCCUGGCUCCCAGCAGCAGCUCGGCCUGCCGGGCUGCACCGGCUCGCCGCGUGUGGUUGGGUCGCCAGCGUGUGUUGCAACAUCUUCUCUUGUAAUGAAGAGGAUAAUUUUGGAUUAGCCAGAACUGUUGUCGUCUUUUGCUCAGCUGUAAUCUUCUCCGUGACAAUGGCUAUAAAAGCCUGUGAGGGGCCAGCUGCCUCCACAAAUAACCAGAACUGGCGGGAUUAACCUGUAACCCGGGGCGGCGUAUACAUGCAUCCCACUAGCCAGAUGGCAGAGUUCAAAGAUCCGCUCACUUCCUGGCCGAGGUUGCACAAGUUAAUUUUUAUCCUUGUUAAAAAGAAGUAAGAAGCGAAAACAUAGCAAUAAAAUGUGUGCUCCUUGCUAUCUCUGGUUUUAAUCACACUUAUUUUGUUCCUUUGCAUUUUGCUAUUAAAUAGGUUUGGGGGAAUGUUAGGAAAAGGAAUUUUUUUCCUCUCUUCUGGCGCUGUUUAAAAUCCUGCUUGGUGUCUUUGUUAUUUUACUGGGGUGUUUGUGUGAUCAAUUCAAUUUAGUCCUUUGGCAAGGAGUACGAAAUAAGAGGAACUAAUUAAAAUAGCAGGAAUGCAAUUCACCAUUUUUUUUUCAAAAUGAGCAAUUCAAUUAGAGGCACAGCGAGAGCUGGCACCCUGGAUCUGGAGGCUCCCACACGGAGGCUCCUGCAG